ensembl:snRNA U6 U6 spliceosomal RNA
AUGGUACACGAAGCACAUAUACUAACUUUGGAACAAUACAGUGAAGAUUAGCAUUGCCCCUGCACAAGGUUGACAUACAGAUUCAUAAAGCAGAGUAUACAUAU